AUUUCCCAGAGCCUAAUGAACCCUGGCUCUCGGUGUGAUAAGCUUCUAUGGAGAGGGAAAUAUUCCCACAAUCUGGUUCCUCAGAGAGACCAAACUUUCUUCUGCAGCACUGUAUGGGAAACAGAACCAGGAGCACACCAAUGGCACAGUAUAAAAAGAUAUAUUUAUUGUAAAACAAUUAAAACUGCUUACUCAGCAAGAUGUGGGCUUGUGACAAACAAGUUUCCACGAAAAGCGUUUGUUUAAAAGUCAAUUGCUC